CAAACCGGAGGAAGGUGGGGAUGACGUCAAAUCAUCAUGCCCCUUAUGAUUUGGGCUACACACGUGCUACAAUGGACAAUACAAAGGGCAGCAAAACCGCGAGGUCAAGCAAAUCCCAUAAAGUUGUUCUCAGUUCGGAUUGUAGUCUGCAACUCGACUACAUGAAGCUGGAAUCGCUAGUAAUCGUAGAUCAGCAUGCUACGGUGAAUACGUUCCCGGG
rnacentral:rRNA from 1 species